rnacentral:rRNA from 1 species
AUACCGAGGGUGCGAACGUUGUUCGGUGUCACUGGGCUUAGAGGGCGCGUAGGCGGCCAGGUUAGUGGGAGGUGAAAGCUCCGGGCUCAACCCGGAAAUUGCCUUCCAAACGGCUUGGCUUGAGGGCCGGAGGGGGAAGCGGAACGUCACGUGUAGCGGUGAAAUGCGUUGAUAUGUGACGGAACGCCGGUGGCGAAGGCGGCUUCCUGGUCGGCUUCUGACGCUGAGGCGCGAAAGCGUGGGGAGCAAACGGGAUUAGAUACCCGAGUAGUCC